rnacentral:lncRNA from 1 species
AUUUUCAUUUAAAAAUUCUUGUUUGUCUUGACAGCAAUUGUGAGGUUAUAAUUAAUUUACUAAGAAUUUUAUGUUUCAAAUACACAUAUACCUAUAGGUGUAAUAUCAUAAUAUUUUAUGAUUAAACUGAACAAAUUAUUUAAUGGUGAUAUAUUGGGGAUUUGUUUGUAUAGUCUGAAAUGUGACCUUUAGAAGAAAAGGUCACUAGACCUUACAGUGGAAAGUUUGGGGUUUUUUGUUUGUUUUUGAGAUGGUUGGUCUUGAACUCUUGGCCUCAAGCAACCUCCCACCUCGGCCUCCCAAAGUGAGCCACUGCGCCUGGCCCUCUUGAUCCUUUAGAUAGCCUGGCACUUUUUGUUACCUCUCUUCUUACGUUGGACUAUUUUAGGAUUACUUCAUCCUUUCUUCAAGACAGCUUUCUGGCCUGACACACUGGCUAUACCUAUAAUCCUAGCACUUUGAGAGUUCGAGACAGAAGGAUUGCUUUGAGCCCAGUAGUCCAAGACUAGCUGGGGCAACAUAGUGAGACCCUGUGUCUAC